UGCAGCUGAAUCUUUGAGUAAUAACCCAUGGAUGGAAGAGAGCAGCUGAAUAUGGGUCACACCAAUUUAUCUUUCUCUGCUCUCUAAACGUAAUCGACCAGGUCUAAAACCAGAAAUCCAUUCACAUAGGACUCUGCAGAGGAUAAGGCACUAUUUUUAUUAACACUUAACCAAAAGACUUAAAAGCUACCUGCCUUUUGAGCAACGACAUUAAAGGUGGUCGUGAGGAGAUCUGGAGAAGUGAUCAUAAAGACCUCGGCUUUGGACUCUGCAGAUAACUGAUGCACAAGAGCAAAAGGCAAAAGGAGAAGUGGCAUCCCUGGCUAGUCACCUCAUCUGGCUACCUGGAGAUCAUCUGCCUUCUCUCCUUGGGAAUCCCUUGUGUCUCUCUGCAGAAAAAAAGACUGUCAAACUGGUAACCUGAAAAAUCUCUCCAAAUGACCCGCAGGUGUCUAGGCUAAUAAAGAAAUUCCAUGUGAAAUAUUAAUGUCCCUCAUUGAAUGUGAACUUUUGACUGUGUCAAGGCCCUCACCAGCCUUCUCCACAUGGACCCUGGUUUCUCUAUUUUAUUGUUAUUGUUAUUGACAUUAUUCAACCAGAUCUUGGACUGCCCUCUAAGAGCCCUGCUGCUUCCACCCAGAAAGUCAUUUGUGUGUAUCUUAUGGCCUUGAAGAUGAUUAAAGGAUGAUU
rnacentral:lncRNA from 1 species